GUUUACAACUCCCAAACCCCUGUGAACAUACCAAUUGUUGCCUCGGCGGAUCAGCCCGCUCCCGGUAAAACGGGACGGCCCGCCAGAGGACCCCUAAACUCUGUUUCUAUAUGUAACUUCUGAGUAAAACCAUAAAUAAAUCAAAACUUUCAACAACGGAUCUCUUGGUUCUGGCAUCGAUGAAGAACGCAGCAAAAUGCGAUAAGUAAUGUGAAUUGCAGAAUUCAGUGAAUCAUCGAAUCUUUGAACGCACAUUGCGCCCGCCAGUAUUCUGGCGGGCAUGCCUGUUCGAGCGUCAUUUCAACCCUCAAGCCCAGCUUGGUGUUGGGACUCGCGAGUCAAAUCGCGUUCCCCAAAUUGAUUGGCGGUCACGUCGAGCUUCCAUAGCGUAGUAGUAAAACCCUCGUUACUGGUAAUCGUCGCGGCCACGCCGUUAAACCCCAACUUCUGAAUGUUGACCUCGGAUCAGGUAGGAAUACCCGCUGAACUUAAGCAUAUCAA
rnacentral:rRNA from 1 species